rnacentral:rRNA from 1 species
CCUACGGGAGGCUGCAGUAGGGAAUGUUGCGCAAUGGGCGAAAGCCUGACGCAGCAACGCCGCGUGAGUGAGACGGCCUUCGGGGUGUAAAGAUCUGUUAGUGGGGGCGAAACUUGACGGUACCCACAGAGGAAGCACCGGCUAACUCCGUGCCAGCAGCCGCGGUAAUACGGGGGGGGCAAGCGUUAUCCGGAAUGAUUGGGCGUAAAGAGUGCGUAGGCGGCGAGUAAAGUCUGGUGUGAAAGUCCGAGGCUCAACUUUGGGACGGCACUGGAUACUUGCGAGCUAGAGUGCAGUAGAGGCAAGGGGAAUUCCAGGUGUAGCGGUGAAAUGCGUAGAUAUCAGGAGGAACACCGGUGGCGAAGGCGUUUUGCUGGGCUGUAAUUGACGCUGAGGACCGAAAGCCUGGGUAGCAAAUAGGAUUAGAUACCCCAGUAGUC